rnacentral:tRNA from 1 species
GCGAGUGUGAUGUAGUCGGUAGCAUCUGAGUGCGCCACAUUCAGUGUGCGAGUUCAAGUCUCGCCACUCGCU